GGGGUGUAUAGCUCGUAGUAAAACAUUCGAUUGCAGAUCGGGAGGCCCCCGGUUCAAACCCGGGUACCCCUU